rnacentral:rRNA from 1 species
AACGAACGCUGGCGGCGUGCCUAACACAUGCAAGUCGAACGAGAAGUACGUAGCAAUACGUAUUGUAAAGUGGCGAACGGGUGAGUAACACGUGGGUAACCUGCCCUCGAGUUUGGGAUAACCCCGCGAAAGCGGGGCUAAUACCGAAUAAGACCACGGGGACCAAAGUCCCUGGGGUAAAAGACGGCCUCUAUUUAUAAGCUGUCACUUGAGGAUGGGCCCGCGGCCCAUUAGCUAGUUGGUAGGGUAACGGCCUACCAAGGCGAUGAUGGGUAGCUGGUCUGAGAGGACGAUCAGCCACACUGGAACUGAGACACGGUCCAGACUCCUACGGGAGGCAGCAGUGGGGAAUACUGCUCAAUGGGCGAAAGCCUGAAGCAGCAACGCCGCGUGGGGGAUGAAGGUUCUCGGAUUGUAAACCCCUUUCGAUCGGAACGAAUCCCCUCCUGGUGAACAAUCAGGAGGGUCGACGGUACCGAGAGAAGAAGCCACGGCUAACUCUGUGCCAGCCGCCGCCGUAACAC